ensembl:lncRNA
GAACUAAAAAAUUCACUGCUUGUGUCACAGUGUUCAUUUUGAUCUGAUAGGCUGAGAGCACGGGGAGAAAGAGAGAGGGAGAGAGAUUGUAUAUGAGUUUUGUGUCAUGUCGUCCCUGCAGUGUUCAUGACUAAUGCGAUCGGGACACACAAGUGGUAAAGGGAGGCAAUAAAAGGCAUUUGGUUGCCAUCUGCCUAUGUGGCCUCGGUGUCAAAGAGUUGGCUGUCAGGCUCAUGCCAUAGACACACAACCAGGAUAACCAUUAGUCCAUAAACAGGCGCCCCUUCUAUAGACAAAUGGUUUGGGAUUUCUAUGGUCAUGUCUCUGGCGGGAUAAUGGCUGUGAAGCUUUGACAUGUGAAAUGCAGGCUAAAUUUAACCAGAAAAGAACGAAGAUCUUUACAGAGAGGGGUUUGUUUAUGUGUCGAGGAAUAACUGGGCUACUUACAGAGGAUCAUGUGGGAUAAUGUGAUGCGGUUUUUAGCAUGACGACAGGUCAUGUGGAGUCUUGUGUUUGAGGUAUAUUUUUCAGAGCUUUUUUUUUUUUUUACCAACUACUCAGUCGCUAAUGCAUGUAUGAAGUAUCCAGUUAUUGGUUCAAAAAUAUUUUCUUUUAGAUUAAGUCUCUCUUAUCUCUCAGAUCUUUUGCAAUAGCUAGCUUAAACCAUAAAUUGCGCUGCUAUCCCACGUGGGCCCCACAAGGCGCAGCUUGCAGCCAUUCCAGUCAUAACUGAAGUCAGCAUUUGGAUACAUUUCACCUUUGAUCUGAUAUUCAUGCUGUUUGUUUUGGGAGCUGCGCGCUUUAAACCCUGUACUGUUUACAGGUUUUGGUAUAGUGCACUUUUCAGAUUUACCAGAAGUGUAUUGUGUGUCCUUUACCUCUAUUUGACCGUCUAUUAUUUGCUUCUGGACAAGGCAUCGGCUUCUCUCAAUUACUGGCUAACAGUAAGCACUUUAUUGGAGCUUGAUAAUCUGCAAAAUUAAUCUUUUUCUUAUGAGGAAAACAGAGUGGGCGAUAGGAGAGGCACUGACAGACAUGCUGAGGACACUGACACUGCCAGCUCCCACAACCAGCCUUCUCAAAGGCAGACUUCCCAAUCGUCUCCGGCUUCACAUAAGCCAGUCGUGGGGAUUUAGAGGUUAUUACUUUGUGUUCCCUUCUUUGUCUGAGGGGUCGUCUUUCC